GAUGAACGCUGGCGGCGUGCCUAAUACAUGCAAGUCGAGCGAACGGACGAGAAGCUUGCUUUUCUGAUGUUAGCGGCGGACGGGUGAGUAACACGUGGAUAACCUACCUAUAAGACUGGGAUAACUUCGGGAAACCGGAGCUAAUACCGGAUAAUAUUUUGAACCGCAUGGUUCAAAAGUGAAAGACGGUCUUGCUGUCACUUAUAGAUGGAUCCGCGCUGCAUUAGCUAGUUGGUAAGGUAACGGCUUACCAAGGCAACGAUGCAUAGCCGACCUGUGAGGGGGAUAGGCCACCCUAGAGGUGGGACGCGGACCAGGGUACUGAGAGAGGCAGCAGUAGGGUAUCUUCCGCAGUGGGCGAAAGCAUGGCGGAACAGGGCGGAGUGGGUGAUGGAGGUCUUCGGAUCGUAAAGCUCUGUUAUUAGGGAAGAACAUAUGUGUAAGUAACUGUGCACAUAUUGACGGUACCUAAUCAGAAAGCCACGGCUAACUACGUG
rnacentral:rRNA from 1 species